UACGUAGGCAGCGAGCGUUGUUCGGAAUUACUGGGCGUAAAGAGUGUGUAGGCGGUGCUCUAAGUUCGGUGUGAAAUCUCCCGGCUCAACUGGGAGGGUGCGCCGAGUACUGAAUGACUAGAGUGCGGGAGAGGAAAGUGGAAUUCCGGGUGGAGCGGUGAAAUGCGUAGAGAUCCGGAGGAACACCGACGGCGCAGGCAGCGCCCUGGGUGUGAUAGCUGACACUGAGGCACGAAAGCUGGGGGAGCAAACAGG
rnacentral:rRNA from 1 species